ACACGGACACUAAUAUUUCACUAGUGUGUCAUUGACGCUGCAGCAAGACUACAUUACCGUUUUGAAGUUAAAUAAAACAUAGAGAUAAAUCUCUGAGUUUAACAUGUUUUAUUUGGGAAGCAACAACUGCAGUUCGGGGGAUAGACACAGAACGGUGGCCUCUCGUAUGUCCAAAGAACAGAGAAGUUUGGAGGUUUUAUGAAGAGGAGAAAUGCUGUGUAUUGUUUUGAAAUAAAGUUCCUUGGCACUAGUAAGGUUUUGGGGAUGCUGGCGAACACUGAUUUGUGGGUGAUGGUGUUAGAUUUCAGCAGGUUGUUCCAGUGGCUGUUAGAUAAAACUGGUUUCAGGUUACACCUGGCAGUUCCAGCAGCCAGGUCUGCAGAGAAUCGUAUGCUUGAAGGAACGUCUUGUGCCUCAAGCGCUUUACCCGCAACCUCUGGACUCUGUUUUAGUUGAGUGUGACAAGAAAGACCCAAGGCGUAUGAAGCUUUGACCCUGUUUUGUAAACUCCCUUUGAUGCGGUCAGAGUUCAUUUGGGGAAACUUCUGGGAAUAGUCAACACGGCCGGUUGGAAACGGAGGUGGAAUUCAGUGGUUACAGCAGAAGCCUGCACUCUAUCGUCCAGUGAGAGCAGCCCAGGGAUGGGCACUCAUGAAGGAGAGUGAUGCUGCCCACAGGAAGCAGGCCAGUGCUGAGCAGAGAGAACCACAAGAAAAGCAGACAGGUCUGCCCGCGUUUGAGCUGGUAUCACUUGCCCAGCAGGCAGGCAUGGGGUGACACAUGACUGGGCGAGCCACUCGCUGGGUGGGGCAUUCACACAGGUCAGCUCAAACCAGAUGGAGCCUGGGACUGUGACCAAGGAGCGAGUGAAGGUCAAAGCCACACAUGGGGCUGAGGGGCCAGGUGGCCGCCUUAUGAGAUCGAAGGCGGGAAGCUUUGGAACAGGGCAAAAAGGGGAGCCCAGGGUGAGGGGAGAGGGCCGAGCAGCUCGGAUCUCUGAUGGUGAGCUGUGCAGAGAUGGGGAAGCGCCUCUUUUCCUCUUUCAUGUGGGUGUCAGGGGGGGUCCAGGCCUGAGGGAGCCAAGCUGGAGGGUGCAGGGUUUCGCGUCUGCCUCGGAACUGGAUGUUUGAAAGCAAAGGUGAACGGCCCAGCAGGCCCGCUGGGGCACUGGGAGAACUGGUUUUUGCCAUUUUAGGAAUUGUUUGGCUUUGGCUUUUUUUCUCACUAAGAAAUUGGAAUCUGAAAGAGCCUUUCAGCUUAUUGUUGAAAAUCCAUCAGGACCUGAAAAUUAGAGACCGGGCCUGAGCUUUCAGCACAUUUAAACUCACGGGAGCGAGGUGGAAAAGCCACAGGAAGUGGAUGCACUAAUUUAGAAAAUAGGGAGAGGGAAGACAGCGCCUGUCCCCUCCCUGAUUGACCACAGGUAACCCCUGGUCUCUCUGUCUACUGAGGCUGAGUGGCCUGUUCUGGGUCUGACUACCCUACCCUGGGGCCUGACUCUGCCCCGCCCCUCGCAACACUCAACAAACGCUUGUGGAAGGAGUGAACAAAUGACAAGUCACGAAACCUAAAUACAGUUUACAAAGUGCAUGGGUCGCAAUUCCAGAGUCUUCAGCUUUGGAGGAGACUGAGGUGCGGGACAUGGAAAAGAAGGUCAUUCUCUUGGAGCCCCAACAAUGACCAGGAGAAAUUCAUUUGGCGGUAAAACCACACGAACCCUAUUACAUCACCAAGCCCUCACCGUUUCCAGCACCCAGGGUCUCUACAAAGAGGCAAGCUGGGACUGAAAUCUCUCCCGAGUGUGGAAGACGGACGGGAGCAGCAGCCGGACAGCACAGCUCAAGGCCGAGAGGCUCACUGGGUGACUCGGGCCGCUUUGGGGUGGCUGUGAGAAGCGAAGGGAGGCUGACUCGGGGUGUGGUGGGGAGUGAAGCCACCACCUUAUUGCCUAGGCCUUCCCUUGAUGCACUUGGAAAAUAAGUUGCUCUUUCUUCACCGGGUGGGGACAUUAAUUAAUGUUUGCAAAAGUCUUUAUGAUCCUUGUCAAAAGGUGUUCGGCCGGCUCUAAUUAUCCAGGUUUCAGCUGCCACCGCUUCCAUCUCAGCACAGCAUCUCUGCCCUGGAAGAUGUCAAACAAGAUUGCUGUUGUCAGGAUGUGCAUCCAGCUCAUGUGGAUUUCUAUCUGCAUCUCCAAAUACUGCCCAGAUUCCAAAGCCCUGCAAGGGGAUGGUAUCUUGUUUGGGGAGAUGAGACCUGUGCCCCGCCCAGCUCCACCCCGUAAGAAGGCAGCUGCCUGGGAGGUAUAAUUUGAUAAGUUUCUGGAAGGACUCACACAUCCAAAACCAACUCCCCAUGUCUUCUCAUGGGGGCCGGAAAUUCCUCCACUAAAAAUUCACUCCUUCACGGGUCUUCGAUGCUUUCUCAAGUAGUCUAGGACACGGUGGUGGAGGGAGAACCAGCCCAGGAGCCAGGCAGCCUAGCCCUGGGUUUCCUCCUUGUGUGGGUGCUGGCUCUGCCCUUACCGGCCUGGUGACCUGGAUAAACUCAUUCUCUUUCUUUCUCAUUUUUUCCACCUAAAAUGGCAACGCUAAUGCCUGUCUCACGUGCUGUCGUGCAGAUUAGAUGAGAUAAUGGAUGUGAACGCCAAGUGUUGCAGAGACGUAAGCGGCAUUAUCGUUACUGAAAUGUCCCAGCCAGAUCAUCCCCAGGAGGGAUUAAUGGCCCACCAGGACAGGUGGGCACCUGGGGUGGUCGGAAGAGCCAGGAGAACCACAGCAGGGAAAAAGACUUCAGGAAAGGAAAGGAGAGAGACCCCACCGCUGGCACAACCACAGAAGUUUUGGGGAUGAGGAGGGGCUCUAGAUAUUUCCCCACUUCCCCAGACAGCCGUGUGCCCUUACAGGGGAACUGAAGCUGCCCACCCGGCUCAGGCCUGACCCCCCAGGUACCUGCUGCCCCAGGUGUGCGGGAGGAGGGUGAUGGCAGACGGACACCCACCUGGUGAAAGAGCCAGUCAGAAAAAUAACUGAGCGUGCCUGGGUGCAUGCAGACACAUCCCCAGGUAAUUUAGACAAAAAGGCCCCGUGUUGGCACGAGUAGCCCAUGGAUGUCAGACCAGAGUAAUUGCUUUCUUUGUCAGAAUUUCCUGCAUAAUUUCCUCUCCUUUGUUUAGCUGAGAGAACCUGGCCUUGCAUCUGGGAGUCUGCUUGCCAAACAUGAUUGGGUUCUUAGAGAUGAAAGACACAGAGUGAGCUAUUUUCCAUAAACACACUGGCACAUGUGUUAAUUACUGCAAGGAGAAAACCAGCCCCCAUGUUUCACGUGGGAGGUGCGUGGUGCUGUGGGGGGAGCGAUGGGUGGAGGGAGGACACCCUUCAGGAUCACAGUAGCUACUUCUCACCAGGACACUGCUGCCAUCCAGCCUUUGUUCUGGGCAUUUUGCGUUAAAAAUCUCAUUUAAUCUUCACAACAGGCCUGUGAGGCAGAAUCCAGGAAUGGAAAGAACUCGGGUUUAGAAGCCAAACAUUGCUGGAUUUAGUUCUGUCCUCAGCCACUUACUGAGUGAACGGGGCAAGCUACUUGCUUACUGGAGCUUCAGUUUUCCCGUCUGUUAAAUGGAAAUAAUACUGGCUUCAGUGUGUUGUGAGAAUUCCCUAUAGUAAUGACUGUGAAACAGCUGAAACCCUGCAGGCAGGUGGUAAAUGAUAGCUCUCGUGUUGCCCUUUAUGGAUAAGGAUGCAAGAAGUUUAGGAUGGUUGGCCAAUGCCACACUGCUGGUCAGCAGCAGAGCUAGGUCCGUCUCCCUGCCAAAGGCAGGCAUUUUGCUCAGAGGCCACCAAACCCAUACCCUUGGUGGCCAACAUGGCAGCGGCCGGAUCGGAGUCUCCCCCCAGUACUUUGUAAGCCCAUUGAGGGUAAGACUAUGCAUCAGAUCUCUUGGCAUCCUUGGUAUCCUUGGCAGGUCUCUUGGUAUCCUUGGCAUCCUCUCUCACAGUGCCGUAAAUGUUCCUUAAAUGGAUGAAAGCAUUCAGGAGCACCUAGAAUAGAUUGAGCAGAUAACCGCAUAACAGGUGUCCACUGUGUGCAUAUAACUUCAGCCUCUUCUGCGUUGUUGGGACAUGAAGUCCCUUCGCUUUGCAUGGAAAAUAGUCUAGGCACCCCCUGGCUGACUUGCCACGAUGCCUGUCCUCAGGACAGGAAGAAGGAUGGGCCCAAGGAGGAGAAUUGCGUCAGAGGUCAAGAAAUGAACUCCAGCAGAAGUAGCACAAACAGGGAACCCAUAAGGAAGCUUGUGAUGAACAAACAUAGGGCAGAUGAAGUGGAAUAUUGGAUGGAAACACACCUUGAAAAUGCACAGACCUGUGGCAAGGGAAGGGAUCACUGCUUAGAUCAAUAGCAGGGCCUUGGACCAUGGUUAGGGGGAUGCUUGUUAGUGCUUCCCUGGGCUGCAGGGAGCCACGGAAAACAGGCCAGGGCAGGAGACCGGCCAGUGACUCACACGGCGGAACACAGGUUUAGAGGAGCAAAAUCUGAAGGGCCCCUCUCCUUCUCCCCACCUGUUUUCUGUCACGUGCUCUGGACCUGAGCCCACAGUGGGGCAGCUCCCUCGGCCUCCAGUGGAAGGCGGAAGCACUUGACAAAAAGCCUCCAGUUAACCGGGGCAAGCAGCAGGGUGGGGCUCAGGCCUUCUGGCCAAGUCCUUGUCUCCCUCGAGUCUCCAGCUUUCUCCUGAGAGGCAAAGCCCUCGCCAGGCAGGCUUUAAUAAGCAGUAGUGCCCUGCACCCCUGCCCAAGUCCCCGGACCCCAUGCUGGCAGGCUACUGCAGCCCCUAUCUUGCCUGGCACAUGGCACAUGGGGUGUCUUGGCAUGUGGGGUGGUGCUGUAUGCCUGUAGUCACAGACUGGCACUCACUGCAAGAGCUUCCAAUGUGUGAGAGCUGAGGCUAGAGUUCCUUGCUGCCUGUGAAGAUGGUGCUGUGACCGGAGCAGGCCUCAUAAUGAGCCGGUGAUUUCAUCCCCUCCAGACAGAAGACAAAGUCUGUGCCUUCUGGGCAAAACAUUAGCUGACCCGUGACACUGCUCAGACCCCAGAGGCCUGGCUCCCGGCCUGCCGGGAGCAGUCACUCCAAACAGCUGCGGCUGUGAGGCCUUCAGAGAGUGGCUAAUUAGGGUCUCACCUGGCCAGCUCCAAUCUGCAACCACAAGCUCGAGGCCCAGCUGCCUCUCCCCAGUGCCUCUGGGGCUCCGCUGCCUCCCUCACAGAUGGCGAGUGACUUCCUUGAUCUGUAUAAACAAGAAUUCUGCCUUAUUCAAACAGCAAUGAUAGAUUGGAGGAUCUACUAUGUACAACACACUGUGCUUGCAUCCAAUGGUAGAGUUAGAAAAAAAAAUGUGAUGUCCUGUGAUGUUAAGAAGUGAAGAACCCCAUGGGGAGGUAGCAGAAAACAUCCAACAGUGAGUGGCAACAGGUGUGCUGGUCACCGAGGGCUUCUUGGGCAAGGUCAUUCAUGAACUGGGUCUUGCAGCACAGAUGUGCUGGGAGUGGAAGAGGACACAGUUAGAUGCCACUUUAUCCUCACUAUAGUGGCACAAAUGGAGAAGGCUGAUGAUGCUGUGUGCUGGGGAAGAGGUGGGUGUGUAGGUUGUCUACCUGUUGGCCGUGGGAGUGUAAAUGAGUCACCCACUCAGGAAAAUAGCUGAACAACCCCCAGGGGUACAUUCCUGUACACCACCACCCAGCAAUUCCACUCGUAGGUAUACACUUCAGAAAACUCUUACACAAAAAUAUUCACAGCAGGACUGUUCAAACGCCCACCAACAGAAGAAUGGAUAAACAGGUGUGUUCACACCAUGGAGUAUCAGACAGCGUCCAAAGAGAGGAAUUACGGCCACCCUAGCAAUAUGGACAAUGCUUAUCAACUUACUACUAAGUGAGAAAAGUAAGUCCCAAAAGAGUACAAACAGCAUGACACCCUCUCAAAGAAGGCAAAGAGAUGUCAAAUAUAAUAUACACAUUUUAGGACUCCAAGGAAUAGGUAAGAUGAGAGGACAGGAUAGGAAAAUAGGCCAGGAGCUGUGGCUCAUGCCUGGAAUCCCAGCACUUAGGUAGGCCGAGGCAGUUAGAUCACUUGAGCCCAGGAGUUCAAGACCACCCUGGACAAUAUAGCGAAACCUCGUCUCUACAAAAAAUACAAAAAUUAGCCAGGUGUGCUGGCAUGUGCCUGAAGUCCCAGCUACUUAGGAGGCUGAAGCGAGAGGAUUGCUUGAGCCUGGAAGGUCAAGGCUGCAGUGAGCUGUGAUCGUGCCACUGCACUCCAGCCUGGGUAAUAGAGAAAGAUCCUGUCUCAAAAAAAAAAGGAAAACACAGAAAGGAGGCACACAGGAUUCGGGGUGACAGCUAUCUUGGGAUAGCUCCCUGCAGCCCAGGGAAGCACUAGGGAGGGAAUGGGAUGGGGUAGGCCACACAGCUGAUGUCAGCUCUUGCUAAGGCCCAGCUUUCAGGCUGGGUGGUGGUUUCACAGGUGACUAUUCUGUUACUUUAAAAUGUGAUCUAUUAGCACAGCUAGGGACGUAGGACUAUGCCUGUAAUAGCAAAAGUAAUAAAAUGCAUCAAAGCCCAGGA
rnacentral:lncRNA from 1 species